rnacentral:misc_RNA from 1 species
UAACGGCAGGGUGGGGGCUUAGCUUUGUAAGGUGGUGGAGGUAUAAUUUUGGCAAUGGUUUAGUAAGUGGUGGUGGGGAGGAACAACAGGUGUAUUGUUGGUGAUGAUGACUAGGGGUGGUGGUGAUAGCCGUGGUAGUGGUAAUAGUUGUGACUUUUGAGCGUUAAUAAUUGUUCAAGGCUCCAGGAAAUAGGAGCGGUUUUAGUUGGAAGUAUUGACCCAAAAAUAUCCAAAACAUUGGUCCCAAUGUCAAUUAUGACGAUUUGUUUAACAACUAUCUUCAACAUUGAUGUCUAUUAUGACUAGCCUAGAGGAUGUGUGUGCCCAAGUACCAUAGAUGAUGCAGACUAUACUUUAUGUAUAAGAUUAUGAAAGAAGGGAGCAAUUUAUAAUACAAGAGGGAGAAACAAAGUAUUUUGAAAAUAUUAAGUGGCAUUUAAACAAGUAUAGUGAUUAUUAAAUAUUAAGCCGAAUACAUCAUUUCACCCUUGAACUUUAUUAAAAAAAAUCUCAUAGCACCCUAAACUUUUCAAACGUCCCAUAACACACUUCAGCUUCUAUAAAGUGGAAUUAAGAUAUAUUUCGGAUCCUAGUCAGCAGAACGCAUGUAUAUCCACAUCAACUUAAUUAGUCUAUGUUACUGCAUUUGUAUUUCACGCUCUGUUAUCUGGGGAGAGCAAGGAUGUCUUAAUUCCACUUUUAACGAGUUUAGGUGUAUAAUAUGACGUUUUAAAAGUUUAGGGUGCCACGAGGUUUUUUAGAUAAAGUUCAGGGGUGAAAUGAUGUAUUCGGCCUUUAUGCAUAAAAUGUAGUCUAUGUCAACAGUUGAGGUGUUUGGCUUUGCACAUACUGCCUUUAAACUAAUCUUAGUUGACUUCAAUAUUGAACUCAAAGUGGGUAUUUAUAAUUGAUAUGUGAAAAGAAUUGGCCAUGAUUGAUGCUUGGACCGAAAGUUUUGAUUUUUUUUAGGUCAUUACUCAUUAGCCAAUUUAGCUAACAUGUUUAUAGCUUUGUUUUUCCAAAUGUUAAACAUAAACAAAAUAUUGCAAUUAUACCACUACCAGACAUACUCCUACAGCACAUUGAAUUAUAACAAUCUAUCUUAAUAUCCAUACUAAAAAAGUCAGAAGGGGGGAGCCAAAUUUGUUCACCACUACAUCGGUGUGAAUAAUAUUGCAAUAACAUCUUUAGUGAUGCCACUGAUGCAGAAUAUAUUCCUAAAGAUUUUAGGAUUAUCUACUUUAGGAAAAAAUAUAGAAAAUAA